rnacentral:rRNA from 1 species
GAGAGCUGUAAGUAAGCUUUGAUCCAGAGAUUUCCGAAUGGGGAAACCCAGCAUGAGUUAUGUCAUGUUAUCGAUAUGUGAAUACAUAGCAUAUCAGAAGGCACACCCGGAGAACUGAAACAUCUUAGUACCCGGAGGAAGAGAAAGAAAAUUCGAUUCCCUUAGUAGCGGCGAGCGAAACGGGAAGAGCCCAAACCAACAAGCUUGCUUGUUGGGGUUGUAGGACACUCUAUACGGAGUUACAAAGGACGACAUUAGACGAAUCAUCUGGAAAGAUGAAUCAAAGAAGGUAAUAAUCCUGUAGUCGAAAAUGUUGUCUCUCUUGAGUGGAUCCUGAGUACGACGGAGCACGUGAAAUUCCGUCGGAAUCUGGGAGGACCAUCUCCUAAGGCUAAAUACUCUCUAGUGACCGAUAGUGAACCAGUACCGUGAGGGAAAGGUGAAAAGCACCCCGGAAGGGGAGUGAAAUAGAACCUGAAACCGUGUGCUUACAAGUAGUCAGAGCCCGUUAAUGGGUGAUGGCGUGCCUUUUGUAGAAUGAACCGGCGAGUUACGAUUUGAUGCAAGGUUAAGCAGUAAAUGUGGAGCCGUAGCGAAAGCGAGUCUGAAUAGGGCGUUUAGUAUUUGGUCGUAGACCCGAAACCAGGUGAUCUACCCUUGGUCAGGUUGAAGUUCAGGUAACACUGAAUGGAGGACCGAACCGACUUACGUUGAAAAGUGAGCGGAUGAACUGAGGGUAGCGGAGAAAUUCCAAUCGAACCUGGAGAUAGCUGGUUCUCUCCGAAAUAGCUUUAGGGCUAGCCUCAAGUGAUGAUUAUUGGAGGUAGAGCACUGUUUGGACGAGGGGCCCCUCUCGGGUUACCGAAUUCAGACAAACUCCGAAUGCCAAUUAAUUUAACUUGGGAGUCAGAACAUGGGUGAUAAGGUCCGUGUUCGAAAGGGAAACAGCCCAGACCACCAGCUAAGGUCCCAAAAUAUAUGUUAAGUGGAAAAGGAUGUGGCGUUGCCCAGACAACUAGGAUGUUGGCUUAGAAGCAGCCAUCAUUUAAAGAGUGCGUAAUAGCUCACUAGUCGAGUGACACUGCGCCGAAAAUGUACCGGGGCUAAACAUAUUACCGAAGCUGUGGAUUGUCCUUUGGACAAUGGUAGGAGAGCGUUCUAAGGGCGUUGAAGCAUGAUCGUAAGGACAUGUGGAGCGCUUAGAAGUGAGAAUGCCGGUGUGAGUAGCGAAAGACGGGUGAGAAUCCCGUCCACCGAUUGACUAAGGUUUCCAGAGGAAGGCUCGUCCGCUCUGGGUUAGUCGGGUCCUAAGCUGAGGCCGACAGGCGUAGGCGAUGGAUAACAGGUUGAUAUUCCUGUACCACCUAUAAUCGUUUUAAUCGAUGGGGGGACGCAGUAGGAUAGGCGAAGCGUGCGAUUGGAUUGCACGUCUAAGCAGUAAGGCUGAGUAUUAGGCAAAUCCGGUACUCAUUAAGGCUGAGCUGUGAUGGGGAGAAGACAUUGUGUCUUCGAGUCGUUGAUUUCACACUGCCGAGAAAAGCCUCUAGAUAGAAAAUAGGUGCCCGUACCGCAAACCGACACAGGUAGUCAAGAUGAGAAUUCUAAGGUGAGCGAGCGAACUCUCGUUAAGGAACUCGGCAAAAUGACCCCGUAACUUCGGGAGAAGGGGUGCUCUUUAGGGUUAACGCCCAGAAGAGCCGCAGUGAAUAGGCCCAAGCGACUGUUUAUCAAAAACACAGGUCUCUGCUAAACCGUAAGGUGAUGUAUAGGGGCUGACGCCUGCCCGGUGCUGGAAGGUUAAGAGGAGUGGUUAGCUUCUGCGAAGCUACGAAUCGAAGCCCCAGUAAACGGCGGCCGUAACUAUAACGGUCCUAAGGUAGCGAAAUUCCUUGUCGGGUAAGUUCCGACCCGCACGAAAGGCGUAACGAUUUGGGCACUGUCUCAACGAGAGACUCGGUGAAAUCAUAGUACCUGUGAAGAUGCAGGUUACCCGCGACAGGACGGAAAGACCCCGUGGAGCUUUACUGUAGCCUGAUAUUGAAAUUCGGCACAGCUUGUACAGGAUAGGUAGGAGCCUUUGAAACGUGAGCGCUAGCUUACGUGGAGGCGCUGGUGGGAUACUACCCUAGCUGUGUUGGCUUUCUAACCCGCACCACUUAUCGUGGUGGGAGACAGUGUCAGGCGGGCAGUUUGACUGGGGCGGUCGCCUCCUAAAAGGUAACGGAGGCGCUCAAAGGUUCCCUCAGAAUGGUUGGAAAUCAUUCAUAGAGUGUAAAGGCAUAAGGGAGCUUGACUGCGAGACCUACAAGUCGAGCAGGGUCGAAAGACGGACUUAGUGAUCCGGUGGUUCCGCAUGGAAGGGCCAUCGCUCAACGGAUAAAAGCUACCCCGGGGAUAACAGGCUUAUCUCCCCCAAGAGUUCACAUCGACGGGGAGGUUUGGCACCUCGAUGUCGGCUCAUCGCAUCCUGGGGCUGUAGUCGGUCCCAAGGGUUGGGCUGUUCGCCCAUUAAAGCGGUACGCGAGCUGGGUUCAGAACGUCGUGAGACAGUUCGGUCCCUAUCCGUCGUGGGCGUAGGAAAUUUGAGAGGAGCUGUCCUUAGUACGAGAGGACCGGGAUGGACAUACCUCUGGUGUACCAGUUGUCGUGCCAACGGCAUAGCUGGGUAGCUAUGUGUGGACGGGAUAAGUGCUGAAAGCAUCUAAGCAUGAAGCCCCCCUCAAGAUGAGAUUUCCCAACUUCGGUUAUAAGAUCCCUCAAAGAUGAUGAGGUUAAUAGGUUCGAGGUGGAAGCAUGGUGACAUGUGGAGCUGACGAAUACUAAUCGAUCGAAGACUUAAUCCCCCCUCAAGAUGAGAUUUCCCAACUUCGGUUAUAAGAUCCCUCAAAGAUGAUGAGGUUAAUAGGUUCGAGGUGGAAGCAUGGUGACAUGUGGAGCUGACGAAUACUAAUCGAUCGAAGACUUAAUCAAAUU